AAUACCCUUAAAUGUUUCAUGGGAUUUAAUAUUAGGGUUUAUUUGGUUGCCCUAGCUUAAUUUUGGAUAAUUUGGGACUUAGACUUUUUGUUUGGUUGUAGAUGUGGGUUUGGUGAUGUGUCAGUGUGAGGACCACACACACACACCCAAAACUUCCUCUCUCUCUCACCCUUCCGUACUCUCUCGGACACACUCUCUCUCUCUCUCUCUCUCUUCUUCUCUCUUGUACGGACUACACCCAAAACCCAUCGAAAGUGUGAAGAUCGAGGGUAUGAAGCACACCAUUGUGUUCGUGAGAACCAUACGAGUUGAAUGGUACCAUUUUCAGGGAAUUUUAAGGACAUAUGAAGCUUUAGGAGGUCCUAAGGAGGCUCGGAAUGGUUCAUUGGGUGAAAUUGGACGUCUGGAUCGGGAGUUUCAAGCUUGGCCGGAUUUUGUGGAAUUUCUCCGGCGAGAUUCCGUGACUUUUGGAGCUUCAAAUUGUUAAUUCGCAUAUAGGUGAGACUUAUCCCGAGGACGAGCGGGUUCAAGGGUGACUUGGGGGCUACAACCCUUCAACAUAUCCGUUUUAAGUAAGCUUGCUAUCGGUGGCCUUAAGGAUUUCGACGGUUCUGACAUAUUUAAACAAUAGUAGGACAUUCUUGAUACUGUAUAACUAGUACUUGUCCUACUGGACUGCACCUAGACUUAUUAUGCUCUGAUUAUGAGUAUUUACUUUCGUAAUUGACUCCUAACACU